GGCCUAGUGGCUCAGUUGGUUAGAGCGCCGCCCUGUCACGGCGGAGCUCACGGGUUCGAGUCCCGUCUGGGUCG
rnacentral:tRNA from 1 species